rnacentral:rRNA from 1 species
UAGCCGUAUAUUAAAGUUGUCGCGGUUAAAAAGCUCGUAGUUGGAUUUCUGUCGAGGAUGACCGGUCCGCACUUUGUGCGUGCAUCUGGUUCAGCCUUGGCAUCCUCCUGGGGAACGUAUCUGCGCUUAAUUGCGUGGUGCGGUAUUCAGGACUUUUACUUUGAGGAAAUUAGAGUGUUCACGGCAGGCAAUCGCCUUGAAUACAUUAGCAUGGAAUAAUAAUAUAGGACCUUGGUCCCAUUUUGUUGGUUUCUGGAACUAAGGUAAUGAUUAAUAGGGAUAAUUGGGGGCAUUCGUAUUAACGUGUCAGAGGUGGAAUUCUUGGAUUACGUUACGACGAACUACUGCGAAAGCAUUUGCCAAGGAUGUUUUCAUUGAUCAAGAACGAAAGUUCGGGGAUCGAAGAUGAUUAGAUACCAUCGUAGUCCGAACCAUAAACUAUGCCAACUAGAGAUGGGCGAUCGUUAUUUUUUUGACUUCGUCCGCACCUUAUGAGAAAUCAAAGUCUUUGGGUUCCGGGGGGAGUAUGGUCGCAAGGCUGAAACUUAAA